rnacentral:misc_RNA from 1 species
GAUGAAGAACGUAGCGAAAUGCGAUAAGUAAUGUGAAUUGCAGAAUUCAGUGAAUCAUCGAAUCUUUGAACGCAUCUUGCGCUCCCUGGUAUUCCGAGGAGCAUGCCUGUUUGAGUGUCAUCUAAAUCCUCAAACCACAUUGAUUCUUUCGGUGUGGCUUUGGAAGUGGGGGUAGUGUUUGCAGGUUUUAUCCUAAGUCUGCUCCCCUGAAAUGCAUUAGUGGUAUCUGAGCAGAAGGAACUACUACAGGUGUGAUAAUUUAUCUAUGCCUUAGUAUACUGCAUAAAACAGAUUACACUGCUUAUAACAAACUUUAUUUCUUUUUUUUGGAGACCUCAAAUCAGGUAGGACUACCCGCUGAACUUAAGCAUAUCAAUAAGCGGAGGA